rnacentral:siRNA from 1 species
CGGCAUCAGCGUGCUCCGGG